UCUAGACGGUGUGGUGAUUUGGCCGGCCGGCUUGCAGCCACGUUAAACAAGUCGCUAAAGGGCCGUGGGUUGUCGAAA
rnacentral:ncRNA from 2 species